rnacentral:tRNA from 1 species
GGAGAGAUGGCCCGAGCGGUUUAAGGCGCACGCCUGGAAAGCGUGUUCACGGCAACGUGUCGGGGGUUCGAAUCCCCCUCUCUCCGCCA